rnacentral:rRNA from 1 species
GAUGAACGCUGGCGGCGUGCUUAACACAUGCCAGUCGAACGGAAAGGCCCAAGCUUGCUUGGGUACUCGAGUGGCGAACGGGUGAGUAACACGUGGGUGAUCUGCCCUGCACUUCGGGAUAAGCCUGGGAAACUGGGUCUAAUACCGGAUAGGACCACAUUUUGGAUGGUGUGGUGGAAAGUUUUUCGGUGUGGGAUGAGCUCGCGGCCUAUCAGCUUGUUGGUGGGGUAAUGGCCUACCAAGGCGUCGACGGGUAGCCGGCCUGAGAGGGUGUACGGCCACAUUGGGACUGAGAUACGGCCCAGACUCCUACGGGAGGCAGCAGUGGGGAAGAUUGCACAAUGGGCGCAAGCCUGAUGCAGCGACGCCGCGUGGGGGAUGACGGCCUUCGGGUUGUAAACUCCUUUCGCUAGGGACGAAGCGUUAUGUGACGGUACCUGGAGAAGAAGCACCGGCUAACUACGUG